GUCUCUGGCCAUGCCACCAUGAACAUGCCUGAUCUCGUCUGAUCUCAGGAGCUAAGCAGGGUCGGGCCUGCUUAGUACUUGGAUGGGAGGCCACCUAGGAAUACCAGGUGCUGUAGGCG
rnacentral:rRNA from 1 species